GUCAAGUCCUCAUGGCCCUUACGCCCAGGGUGGCAAACGUGCUACAAUGGCGUGUACAAAGCGAUGCAAUAUCGUGAGAUGGAGCAAAUCGCAAAAAGCACGCCCCAGUUCGGAUUGGAGUCUGCAACUCGACUCCAUGAAGCCGGAAUCGCUAGUAAUCGGAGAUCAGCCACGCUCCGGUGAAUACGUUCCUGAGCCUUGUACACACCGC
rnacentral:rRNA from 1 species